UAGGGAAUAUUAGUAAUGGGCGAAAGCCUGAACUAGCAACACCGCGUGUGCGAAGAAGGCCUUCGGGUUGUAAAGCACUUUUUGGAAGGAUUAGGAAGGAAUGUACUUCCAGGAUAAGUCUCGGCUAACUACGUGCCAGCAGCCGCGGUAACACGUAGGAGGCAAACGUUAUCCGGAUUUACUGGGCGUAAAGCGCGUGUAGGUGGUUCUGUAAGUAGGGCGUGAAAGCUCCUGGCUCAACUGGGAGAGGCCGUUCUAAACUGCAGAGCUAGAGGAUGGUAGAGGGAGGUGGAAUUCCGGGUGUAGCGGUGGAAUGCGCAGAUAUCCGGAGGGACACCAGUGGCGAAAGCGGCCUCCUGGACCAUUCCCGACACUCAGACGCGAAAGCUAGGGUAGCAAACG
rnacentral:rRNA from 1 species